ensembl:lncRNA
CGUUAACGUUGUAUUUAUAACCGCUUCGUACGGACAAAACAGUAUCUGAAAGAGAACCUAGACGGCAGAAAUGUAAAUGUAAUGUGAGCAAUAAUCUCUAACUGUGCAUACAAGUAAAACUUUAGUGUUUCAACAACUUUAUUCAUUCAUUCAUGGUUUAUAUUCCAUAGGGACAGAUCUUGGCGCUGCGUGGCUCCGGGGUAUGUUUGAGUUAUUUGGUGGUGAGCAGUACGACAAGUUUCACCUUGCUUGUCACUGCAGGGCAAACGGUCACAUCUGGGUUUCCAGAAGACAUGCCAUUCCUUUUGACAUUAGAACAAGACGUCCCAGGGAGAUGAAAUGACCAAACAACCCGCUAACUCCCCCAACAUCAAAUUUUUUUUUCAAUGCGUUAUUGGCUGUCAGAUGGCGAGAAAGAAGCCAAAAUGGAGACAGAAGUUACCAGGGAGAAUAAUGAACAAACGACGGAGGACGACUGCCUGUGGCCGUACCUGGAGGAAUUUUUCAUUUACAAAGGAAGAAAAUGAGACAGCGUCCAGAUGAAGUGAAACUUUGUUUGACCAACACUGUGAUAUCUGCUUACAAGACUUCAACGUUUAAUCUAAAAAACACAUUGCAGUAAGAGCUUUUACAACUAUACUUGUAUGAUAUUGCUUUUAUUUUCUCUCUUGCAUGUGUUUUGAAGUUUGCGUGGCGUGUGCUCCGG